UUGAGAAUAUUCUCACUGUUAUGAUUUUGUAAUAAUCAGUACAGGCUAAGCAUUCACUGUACUAAGACCAUGCAUGUGUCCCUAGAGCUGGUUCUUUCCCUAGGUCUGGUUUUAUAAAUGCUGGUGAUAAAC